rnacentral:tRNA from 1 species
GCGAGCAUAGUUUAGUGGUAAAACCUCUGCCUUCCAAGCAGGUGCCAUCGGUUAAGUUUUCCUUGCUCGCACCA